CCUACGGGUGGCAGCAGUGAGGAAUAUUGGUCAAUGGGCGGAAGCCUGAACCAGCCAAGUAGCGUGCAGGAUGACGGCCCUACGGGUUGUAAACUUCUUUUAUACGGGAAUAACGUGCCUUACGUAUAGUGCUUUGCAUGUACCGUAUGAAUAAGGACCGGCUAAUUCCGUGCCAGCAGCCGCGGUAAUACGGAGGAUCCGGGCGUUAUCCGGAUUUAUUGGGUUUAAAGGGAGCGUAGGCCGCAUGUCAAGCGUGCUGUGAAAUGUCGGGGCUCACACCGGGCAUUGCAGCGCGUACUGGCAUGCUUGAGUACGCGGAAGGCAGGCGGAAUUCGUCGUGUAGCGGUGAAAUGCUUAGAUAUGACGAAGAACCCCGAUUGCGAAGGCAGCUUGCUGCAGCGGAACUGACGCUGAUGCUCGAAAGCGCGGGUAUCGAACAGGAUUAGAUACCCCUGUAGUC
rnacentral:rRNA from 1 species